rnacentral:rRNA from 1 species
CUACAAGGGUAUCUAAUCCUGUUUGCUCCCCACGCUUUCGCACCUCAGCGUCAACAACGGUCCAGUGAGCCGCCUUCGCCACUGGUGUUCUUCCGAAUAUCUACGAAUUUCACCUCUACACUCGGAAUUCCACUCACCUCUCCCGUGUUCAAGCUACCUAGUUUCAAAGGCAAUUCUGAAGUUGAGCUCCAGGCUUUCACCUCUGACUUGAAUAGCCGCCUACGUGCGCUUUACGCCCAGUAAUUCCGAACAACGCUAGCCCCCUCCGUAUUACCGCGGCUGCUGGCAC